rnacentral:rRNA from 1 species
CGACUCUCGGCAACGGAUAUCUCGGCUCAUGCAUCGAUGAAGAACGUAGCAAAAUGCGAUACUUGGUGUGAAUUGCAGAAUCCCGUGAACCAUCGAGUUUUUGAACGCAAGUUGCGCCCGRAGCCUUUUGGCCGAGGGCACGUCUGCCUGGGCG